UACGGAGGGGGCGAGCGUUGUCCGAAGUUACUGGGCGUAAAGAGCUCGUAGGCGGUUUGUCGCGUCUGCUGUGAAAACCUAAGGCUCAACCUUGGGCUUGCAGUGGGUACGGGCAGACUAGAGUGCGGUAGGGGUGACUGGAAUUCCUGGUGUAGCGGUGGAAUGCGCAGAUAUCAGGAGGAACACCGAUGGCGAAGGCAGGUCACUGGGCCGCAACUGACGCUGAGGAGCGAAAGCAUGGGGAGCGAACAGG
rnacentral:rRNA from 1 species